rnacentral:tRNA from 1 species
GAGACUUUAGUAUAAUGUAGUAUAAUUUAUUUUCAAUAAAUAGGUGAAAUAAGUCUUAU